rnacentral:rRNA from 2 species
CAAUCUUAACGAUGGAUGUCUUGGUUCCUAUAGCGAUGAAGGCCGUAGCAAAAAGCGAUAUGCAAUGAAAAAUGCAAUAACUGUGAAUCAUCGGAAAGCUGAAUGUAAAUUGUAAAAUUUCUAUUAUAGAAAAUUUUAUUCCUUCAUACUACUGUUU